GACGAACGCUGGCGGCGUGCUUAACACAUGCAAGUCGAACGAAGAGCGAUGGAAGCUUGCUUCUAUCAAUCUUAGUGGCGAACGGGUGAGUAACGCGUAAUCAACCUGCCCUUCAGAGGGGGACAACAGUUGGAAACGACUGCUAAUACCGCAUACGAUCUAAUCUCGGCAUCGAGGAAAGAUGAAAGGUGGCCUCUAUUUAUAAGCUAUCACUGAAGGAGGGGAUUGCGUCUGAUUAGCUAGUUGGAGGGGUAACGGCCCACCAAGGCGAUGAUCAGUAGCCGGUCUGAGAGGAUGAACGGCCACAUUGGGACUGAGACACGGCCCAGACUCCUACGGGAGGCAGCAGUGGGGAAUCUUCCGCAAUGGACGAAAGUCUGACGGAGCAACGCCGCGUGAGUGAUGACGGCCUUCGGGUUGUAAAGCUCUGUUGAUCGGGACGAAAGGCCUUCUUGCGAACAGUUAGAAGGA
rnacentral:rRNA from 1 species